AUUGAACGCUGGCGGCAUGCUUUACACAUGCAAGUCGAACGGUAACAGGCCGCAAGGUGCUGACGAGUGGCGAACGGGUGAGUAAUGCAUCGGAACGUGCCCAGUCGUGGGGGAUAACUGCUCGAAAGAGCAGCUAAUACCGCAUACGAUCUAUGGAUGAAAGCGGGGGACCGUAAGGCCUCGCGCGAUUGGAGCGGCCGAUGUCAGAUUAGGUAGUUGGUGGGGUAAAGGCGCACCAAGCCAACGAUCUGUAUCGGGUCUGAGAGGACGACCAGCCACACUGGGACUGAGACACGGCCCAGACUCCGACGGGAGGCAGCAGUGGGGAAUUUUGGACAAUGGGGGCAACCCUGAUCCAGCAAUGCCGCGUGCAGGAAGAAGGCCUUCGGGUUGUAAACUGCUUUUGUACGGAACGAAACGGUCUGGGUUAAUACCCUGGGCUAAUGACGGUACCGUAAGAAUAAGCACCGGCUAACUACGUGCCAGCCGCCGCCGUAAAAC
rnacentral:rRNA from 1 species